rnacentral:rRNA from 1 species
AACGUAGGUUCCGAGCGUUAUCCGGAUUUACUGGGCGUAAAGCGCGUUCAGGCGGUUUGGCAAGUCGGGCAUGAAAUCCUUCGGCUCAACCGGGGGAGGUUGUCCGAUACUGCUGAACUGGAGGGCAGUAGAGGGUGGUGGAAUUCCGGGUGUAGUGGUGAAAUGCGUAGAGAUCCGGAGGAACACCAGUGGCGAAAGCGGCCACCUGGACUGCACCUGACGCUGAAACGCGAAAGCUAGGGGAGCAAACAGG